GACGAACGCUGGCGGCGCGCUUAACACAUGCAAGUCGAGCGAGAUCCAGGCCUUCGGGCCUGGGGACAGCGGCGAACGGGUGAGUAACACGUGGGUAAUCAACCCUCGACACUGGGAUAGCCCGGGGAAGCCCGGAUUAAUACCGGAUGGCCCUUUGGAUCUUCGGAUCUGACGGGAAAGGUAGCUUCGGCCUCCGGUCGAGGACGAGCCCGCGGCGGAUUAGCUUGUUGGUGGGGUAACGGCUCACCAAGGCGACGAUCCGUAGCUGGUCUGAGAGGACGAUCAGCCGAACUGGGACUGAGACACGGCCCAGACUCCUACGGGGGGCAGCAGUGGGGAAUCUUGCGCUAAUGCGGGCAACCGUGACGCAGCGACGCCGCGUGAGGGAAGAAGGCCUUCGGGUUGUAAACCUCUUUCAGGAGGGACGAAGCCACUCGGGUGAAUAGCCCAGAGGGUGACGGUACCUCCAGAAGAAGCCCCGGCUAACUACGUGCCAGCCGCCGCCGUAAGAC
rnacentral:rRNA from 1 species